rnacentral:rRNA from 1 species
GUACACUCCUGCGGGAGGCAGCAGUGGGGAAUUUUGAACAAUGGGCGAAAGCCUGAUCCAGCAAUGCCACGUGUGUGAAGAAGGCCUUCGGGUUGUAAAGCACUUUUGUCCGGAAAGAAAUCCUUGGCUCUAAUACAGUCGGGGGAUGACGGUACCGGAAGAAUAAGCACCGGCUAACUACGUGCCAGCAGCCGCGGUAAUACGUAGGGUGCGAGCGUUAAUCGGAAUUACUGGGCGUAAAGCGUGCGCAGGCGGUUUGCUAAGACCGAUGUGAAAUCCCCGGGCUCAACCUGGGAACUGCAUUGGUGACUGGCAGGCUAGAGUAUGGCAGAGGGGGGUAGAAUUCCACGUGUAGCAGUGAAAUGCGUAGAGAUGUGGAGGAAUACCGAUGGCGAAGGCAGCCCCCUGGGCCAAUACUGACGCUCAUGCACGAAAGCGUGGGGAGCAAACAGGAUUAGAAACCCUUGUAGUCCCA